rnacentral:misc_RNA from 1 species
UCCGGUUUGUCACCGGCAGUCUCAUUAGAGUGCCCUUUCGUAGCAACUAAUGACAAGGGUUGCGCUCGUUGCGGGACUUAACCCAACAUCUCACGACACGAGCUGACGACAGCCAUGCAGCACCUGUGUACUGGUUCUCUUUCGAGCACUCCCCAAUCUCUCAGGGAUUCCAGCCAUGUCAAGGGUAGGUAAGGUUUUUCGCGUUGCAUCGAAUUAAUCCACAUCAUCCACCGCUUGUGCGGGUCCCCGUCAAUUCCUUUGAGUUUUAAUCUUGCGACCGUACUCCCCAGGCGGUCUACUUCACGCGUUAGCUGCGUUACCAAGUCAAUUAAGACCCGACAACUAGUAGACAUCGUUUAGGGCGUGGACUAC